AUUGAACGCUGGCGGAAUGCUUUACACAUGCAAGUCGAGCGGCAGCACGGGGGCAACCCUGGUGGCGAGCGGCGAACGGGUGAGUAAUACAUCGGAACAUGCCCAGUCGUGGGGGAUAACACUUCGAAAGAAGUGCUAAUACCGCAUACGUCCUGAGGGAGAAAGCGGGGGAUCGCAAGACCUCGCGCGAUUGGAGUGGCCGAUGUCAGAUUAGCUAGUUGGUGGGGUAAAGGCCUACCAAGGCAACGAUCUGUAGCUGGUCUGAGAGGAUGAUCAGCCACACUGGGACUGGGACACGGCCCAGACUCCUACGGGAGGCAGCAGUGGGGAAUUUUGGACAAUGGGGGCAACCCUGAUCCAGCCAUUCCGCGUGAGUGAAGAAGGCCUUCGGGUUGUAAAGCUCUUUCGGCAGGAACGAAACGGUGAGCUCUAACAUAGCUUGCUAAUGACGGUACCUGAAGAAGAAGCACCGGCUAACUACGUGCCAGCCGCCGCAGUAAUAC
rnacentral:rRNA from 1 species